GCCUGGUUGGCUCAGUCGGUAGAGUGUACGACUCUUGAUCUCAGGGUCAUGGGUUCGAGCCCCACACUGGGUG
rfam:Ailuropoda melanoleuca scaffold16_40, whole genome shotgun sequence.